ensembl:lncRNA
UUUAUGACGUCAACAGACUGUAAAUUGGCUCUGAACUGAUGCUAACGAGGUUAAAAGGCAAGUGUCUGCAAUGUCUCAAUGGAGGAAUAAACCUGACCACUUAGGUAUCUGAGGAAUCCACAGCAGCAUCCCAUUCUGGUCCGAUAACACUGGAACAGCCUGAUUACUAUCAACUGCAAUGGUGUAAAGUGGUGUGUUUAUGUGUGUGUGUGGGGGUGAGACAUGUUGUGUCCUCAUACCAUAAUAGGCUUCUCCGAAUAACUGUCCCAUAAUUUUAGUCUUGUGAGUAGUUGCAGUCAGCUCUGGCCUCAAAAGGAAGAGAGGGAGGUAGAGCCAAUUACUUUCACCCUCUCUGUUUCAAAUGUACUCACACACACACACACACACACACACACACACAUUUUAAUACACCGCCUGUGUCAGACAGUAAGGUUUCCGGAAGGAAUUCCAGGCAUCCCGAGAACUAUUUUCCUGAUUCCUAAAGGCUUAGUGUUACGGUCAUCUUGUCUAGAUCCUCAGCCAAGAAACACACAGUCUAAAAGCCCAGAUAUCCUCUUUGAUGAGCUGAAUUUACGUCGAGGCUGAGCAGCAGGGAAUGCUGCUAUAAUCUGAAAUGUGCCAAACCACGAGGGAUGAAUUCCAACGGUGAUGCUGAGCUGGCAAAGGCAACCGGGAAUACCACGGAGGCUACACAAUAUGUUUAAUAUGUUCAGGAGAUAUGAGACGAGCAAGGACGGGACACAUAGGAGAAAAGCUGUUGAGAGACGAUGUCAUGCUUAUCCCGCGUACAUGCUGUGGAGGUGAGAGGUGAUCAAACCUCCUCUUACCCUCACGCUGCUCUCAUGCCCGUCCGUCUAAGACCCACAGCCUCUUCAUUUUUCCACAAUGAGGGUAAAGCGAGGGUCCGAAACUCCACUGUGUUUAGACAACAAAGAGUCAGCUGGGGAAGAACCAGCAGAGGUUUUUUCUCCUACGUAUGUGGACACCUAAACGCCACAGUAAAUCCUCGUACGUUUGUGGAAAGUGGAAAACC